rnacentral:lncRNA from 1 species
UCCCGCGGUGAGUGACGGCGCCGCCGCCGCCGCCGCUGCCGCCGCCCAGGCUAGCGCGGAGCCUCCGCUCCAUCGCCCCGCCGCCAUGGACCUAUUCGGGGACUUGCCGGAGCCCGAGCGCGCGCCGCGGCCGUCUGCCGGGAAAGAAGCACAGGAAGGACCCGUGCUCUUCGAGGACCUGCCCCCGACCAGCAGUACUGACUCAGGUACAGUCUUCAGGCUCUCCCAGGAUCUGGGGGACCUUUACUCUUUGAUGGUCUUCCACCUGCUGGCAGCGGCAAUUCAGGUUCUCUUGCCACAUCAGGCUCCCAGGUGGUGAAGAACGAAGGAAAAGGAGCAAAGAGGAAAGCCCCUGAGGAAGAGAAGAAUGGCGGUGAAGAGCUUGUGGAAAAGAAACCUCUUCGGUGAUCUUUGGUUUGAAAGGCUACGUGGCAGAGCGGAAGGGUGAGAGGGAGGAGAUGCAGGACGCCCAUGUCAUCCUGAAUGAUAUCACUCAGGAGUGUAAUCCUCCAUCAUCUCUCAUUACUCGGGUUUCAUACUUUGCUGUUUUUGAUGG